rnacentral:rRNA from 1 species
AUACGGAGGGUCCAAGCGUUAUCCGGAUUCAUUGGGUUUAAAGGGUCCGCAGGCGGGAAAAUAAGUCAGUGGUGAAAGCCUACAGCUCAACUGUAGAACUGCCAUUGAUACUGUUUUUCUUGAGUAUAGAUGAAGUGGGCGGAAUAUAUCAUGUAGCGGUGAAAUGCAUAGAUAUGAUAUAGAACACCGAUUGCGAAGGCAGCUCACUAAACUAUUACUGACGCUCAGGGACGAAAGCGUGGGGAGCGAACAGGAUUAGAUACCCCAGUAGUCCC